rnacentral:lncRNA from 1 species
AUUUCUAUCCUUAAUCUCAUCAUGUAAAAUUCACAUAAUAACCCAGUCAAGCAAGAAAACACAAAACACUUAGAGAAACAGAAACAAAGUUAACCAACGACAUCUUUCACCCAAAAAAAAAAAAAACAAGAAACUUUCACGUAAUAAUAGCUUUCAUAACAAUAACAACUACAAAUAGAAGAAGAAGAUAGCUAAUCUUAUUUGCCUAUUGAAGCUUUGGAGAGACAGAUUCAGAAAUCACGUACGGAAGAAAAAAACUACCUCUAGACUCAAGUAUGCUUAUGCUGCUUCACUUUGUAUUGCUCUCUCUCGAGAUGCUGCUCAAGUCUUUCUCUAUGUAUAUACUAGCUCCCUUGUCAUUUAACUCCUUUCUACUGUUUCAGGUCAAACUUGGCAAAAGAUUAGUAUAUAAUAUUAGUUGUUUUCCUUCCCCACUCAUUUCUACCGCCCUAUCGUGAUCUACAUUUAUUUUAUUGGCAGCCUUGCUAGCAUGAGUAAGCUGAACUAUACGGCAACUCUUUCAUUGGUGCAUAUAGUCUUUUUUCUUCUUUUUUUUUCUUCUGCUGUUCAACCAUAGUAACGUGUUUUGAAACUAAUCAAAAUAAACCCUUGCAACUAGUGCCCCUAAAAAAAUUGUUCAUUUAGGACAUAUAAUCUAAUUCUUCAACUACAAUUUUUCAUUUGUGGGAUUUACACCUAUUGAAGCUUUGGAGAGACAGAUUCAGAAAUCACGUACGGAAGAAAAAAACUACCUCUAGACUCAAGUAUGCUUAUGCUGCUUCACUUUGUAUUGCUCUCUCUCGAGAUGCUGCUCAAGUCUUUCUCUAUGUAUAUACUAGCUCCCUUGUCAUUUAACUCCUUUCUACUGUUUCAGGUCAAACUUGGCAAAAGAUUAGUAUAUAAUAUUAGUUGUUUUCCUUCCCCACUCAUUUCUACCGCCCUAUCGUGAUCUACAUUUAUUUUAUUGGCAGCC